UGUUGAUCACAUUGUAUUUUAGUUACCAGUUUGUCAGUCUCCCAGUAGAUUGGGGUUCCUUGAGAGCAGAGACCGUGUUCACUUUGCCUUGAAGUAAGUUCCAAAUUAUUUGCUAAAUGAGCAAUG